UACGAAGGGGGCUAGGCGUUGCUCGGAAUUACUGGGCGUAAAGGGAGCGUAGGCGGACAUUUAAGUCAGAGGUGAAAUCCCGGAGCUUAACUUCGGAACUGCCUUUGAUACUGGGUGUCUUGGAGUGUGAGAGAGGUAUGUGGAACUCCGAGUGUAGAGGUGAAAUUCGUAGAUAUUCGGAAGAACACCAGUGGCGAAGGCGGUCUGCUGGGCGAGUUUCUGACACUGAUGCGCGACAGCGUGGGGAGCAAACAGG
rnacentral:rRNA from 1 species